rnacentral:rRNA from 1 species
GACGAACGCUGGCGGCGUGCUUAACACAUGCAAGUCGAACGGAAAGGCCCUGCUUUUGUGGGGUGCUCGAGUGGCGAACGGGUGAGUAACACGUGAGUAACCUGCCCUUGACUUUGGGAUAACUUCAGGAAACUGGGGCUAUAACGGCUAAGAAUUUCUUGCGCCUCGUGGGGGAUGGGAAAGUUAGGGUGUUGGGGUUAGUUGUAGGGGUUUUCGGCCUGUUUGGGGGGGAGUGGGUUACCAAGGCUUUGCAGGGUAGCCGGCCUGGGAGGGGGGCCGGGCACAAUGGGACUGAGGUACGGCGCAGUCUCCUACGGGAGGCAGCAGUGGGGAAUAUUGCACAAUGGGCGGAAGCCUGAUGCAGCAGCGCCGCGUGCGGGAUGACGGCCUUCGGGUUGUAAACCGCUUUCGCCUGUGACGAAGCGUGAGUGACGGUAAUGGGUAAAGAAGCACCGGCUAACUACGUG